UACGAAGGGGGCUAGCGUUGCUCGGAAUCACUGGGCGUAAAGGGUGCGUAGGCGGGUCUUUAAGUCGGGGGUGAAAUCCUGGAGCUCAACUCCAGAACUGCCUUCGAAACUGACGAUCUUGAGUUCGGGAGAGGUGAGUGGAACUGCGAGUGUAGAGGUGAAAUUCGUAGAUAUUCGCAAGAACACCAGUGGCGAAGGCGGCUCACUGGCCCGAUACUGACGCUGAGGCACGAAAGCGUGGGGAGCAAACAGGG
rnacentral:rRNA from 1 species